AUUGAACGCUGGCGGCAGGCUUAACACAUGCAAGUCGAACGAGUGGCGGACGGGUGAGUAAUGUAUGGGAAUCUGGCCGAUGGAGGGGGAUAACUACUGGAAACUGUAGCUAAUACCGCAUACCAUCGGAUGAGCCCAUAUGGGAUUAGCUAGUUGGUGGGGUAAAGGCUCACCAAGGCGACGAUCUCUAGCUGGUCUGAGAGGAUGACCAGCCACACUGGGACUGAGACACGGCCCAGACUCCUACGGGAGGCAGCAGUGGGGAAUAUUGCACAAUGGGGGCAAGCCUGAUGCAGCCAUGCCGCGUGUAUGAAGAAGGCCUUAGGGUUGUAAAGUACUUUCAGCGGGGAGGCGUUACCCGCAGAAGAAGCACCGGCUAACUCCGUGCCAGCAGCCGCGGUAAUUC
rnacentral:rRNA from 1 species